GCCCGGGUGGCGGAACUGGCAGACGCAAGGGACUUAAAAUCCCUCGCCCGAUAGGGUGUACGGGUUCAAAUCCCGUCCCGGGCACCA
rnacentral:tRNA from 1 species